rnacentral:rRNA from 1 species
AUUGAACGCUGGCGGCAGGCCUAACACAUGCAAGUCGAACGAGUGGCGGACGGGUGAGUAAUGUCUGGGAAACUGCCCGAUGGAGGGGGAUAACUACUGGAAACGGUAGCUAAUACCGCGUACCAUCGGAUGUGCCCCGAUGGGAUUGGCUUGUAGGUGAGGUAACGGCUCACCUAGGCGACGAUCCCUAGCUGGUCUGCGAGGAGGACCAGCGAAACUGGAACGCGGAAACGAUCGGGACUGCUACGGGAGGAAGCAGUGGGGAAUCGGGCACAAUGGGCGAAGGCCGGAUGCAGCCAUGCCGCGUGUAUGAAGAUGGCCUUCUGGUUGUAAAGUACUUGCAGCGGGGAGGCGUUACCCGAAGAAGAAGAACCGGCUAACUACGGGCCAGCCGCCGCGGUAAGUC